GGGGUUGUGGCUCAGUGGUAGAGUGCUUGCCUAGCAUGCAUAAGACACUGGGUUGGAUCCCCAGCACCACA
rnacentral:tRNA from 1 species